GAUGAACGCUAGCGGGAGGCCUAACACAUGCAAGCCGAGCGGUAUUGUUUCUUCGGAAAUGAGAGAGCGGCGUACGGGUGCGUAACACGUGUGCAACCUGCCUUUAUCUGGGGGAUAGCCUUUCGAAAGGAAGAUUAAUACUCUAUAAUAUAUUGAACGGCAUCGUUUAAUAUUGAAAGCUCCGGCGGAUAGAGAUGGGCACGCGCAAGAUUAGCUAGUUGGUGAGGUAACGGCUCACCAAGGCGAUGAUCUUUAGGGGGCCUGAGAGGGUGAUCCCCCACACUGGUACUGAGACACGGACCAGACUCCUACGGGAGGCAGCAGUGAGGAAUAUUGGUCAAUGGGUGCAAGCCUGAACCAGCCAUCCCGCGUGAAGGACGACUGCCCUAUGGGUUGUAAACUUCUUUUGUAUAGGGAUAAACCUACCCUCGUGAGGGUAGCUGAAGGUACUAUACGAAUAAGCACCGGCUAACUCCGUG
rnacentral:rRNA from 1 species